UGUGAGCUCGAUGAGUAGGGCGGGACACGUGGUAUCCUGUCUGAAUAUGGGGGGACCAUCCUCCAAGGCUAAAUACUCCUGACUGACCGAUAGUGAACCAGUACCGUGAGGGAAAGGCGAAAAGAACCCCGGCGAGGGGAGUGAAAAAGAACCUGAAACCGUGUACGUACAAGCAGUGGGAGCCUCUUUUAUGGGGUGACUGCGUACCUUUUGUAUAAUGGGUCAGCGACUUAUAUUCUGUAGCAAGGUUAACCGAAUAGGGGAGCCGAAGGGAAACCGAGUCUUAACUGGGCGUUAAGUUGCAGGGUAUAGACCCGAAACCCGGUGAUCUAGCCAUGGGCAGGUUGAAGGUUGGGUAACACUAACUGGAGGACCGAACCGACUAAUGUUGAAAAAUUAGCGGAUGACUUGUGGCUGGGGGUGAAAGGCCAAUCAAACCGGGAGAUAGCUGGUUCUCCCCGAAAGCUAUUUAGGUAGCGCCUCGUGAAUUCAUCUCCGGGGGUAGAGCACUGUUUCGGCAAGGGGGUCAUCCCGACUUACCAACCCGAUGCAAACUGCGAAUACCGGAGAAUGUUAUCACGGGAGACACACGGCGGGUGCUAACGUCCGUCGUGAAGAGGGAAACAACCCAGACCGCCAGCUAAGGUCCCAAAGUCAUGGUUAAGUGGGAAACGAUGUGGGAAGGCCCAGACAGCCAGGAUGUUGGCUUAGAAGCAGCCAUCAUUUAAAGAAAGCGUAAUAGCUCACUGGUCGAGUCGGCCUGCGCGGAAGAUGUAACGGGGCUAAACCAUGCACCGAAGCUGCGGCAGCGACACUGUGUGUUGUUGGGUAGGGGAGCGUUCUGUAAGCCUGUGAAGGUGUACUGUGAGGUAUGCUGGAGGUAUCAGAAGUGCGAAUGCUGACAUAAGUAACGAUAAAGCGGGUGAAAAGCCCGCUCGCCGGAAGACCAAGGGUUCCUGUCCAACGUUAAUCGGGGCAGGGUGAGUCGACCCCUAAGGCGAGGCCGAAAGGCGUAGUCGAUGGGAAACAGGUUAAUAUUCCUGUACUUGGUGUUACUGCGAAGGGGGGACGGAGAAGGCUAUGUUGGCCGGGCGACGGUUGUCCCGGUUUAAGCGUGUAGGCUGGUUUUCCAGGCAAAUCCGGAAAAUCAAGGCUGAGGCGUGAUGACGAGGCACUACGGUGCUGAAGCAACAAAUGCCCUGCUUCCAGGAAAAGCCUCUAAGCAUCAGGUAACAUCAAAUCGUACCCCAAACCGACACAGGUGGUCAGGUAGAGAAUACCAAGGCGCUUGAGAGAACUCGGGUGAAGGAACUAGGCAAAAUGGUGCCGUAACUUCGGGAGAAGGCACGCUGAUAUGUAGGUGAAGUCCCUCGCGGAUGGAGCUGAAAUCAGUCGAAGAUACCAGCUGGCUGCAACUGUUUAUUAAAAACACAGCACUGUGCAAACACGAAAGUGGACGUAUACGGUGUGACGCCUGCCCGGUGCCGGAAGGUUAAUUGAUGGGGU
rnacentral:rRNA from 1 species